CUACAAAAGAAAACUAUCUUUGAGUGUUAUUGUUGGUAUUGAUAGUGUUCAUCUUGAUACAAGGUCAAUGUUUUCAAUUCUGCUGUGAAUGAGCCUGCGUACUAAAAAAAGGAUCCUUUCUUUUAUCAAGUCUGCUAUAAUUCAGAUAAAAUUCAGAAAAUUACAUAAAGAAUCUGGGAAUGGAAUAUUCACUGAGACUAGAAAAAUAUCAAGCAAAGGUCCAAAAGAAACAUCCUUCAAUACACUACAAAAGACAACUAUCUUUGAGUGUUAUUGUUGAUAUUGAUAAUGUUGUUGUACAUCUUGAUAUGGCAGUCAAUGUUUUUUACUUUUUCAAUUGAGACUGUUUUUUUUUCUUCAUGUAAUGAUGUUCAGUUU